UUAAGCCAUGCGAGUCAAAUGUUCUUCGUGAACAUGGCGUACUGCUCAGUAACACGUGGAUAACCUGCCUUAGGACUGGCAUAACCCCGGGAAACUGGGGAUAAUUCCGGAUAGUUCAUGGUAGCUGGAAUGCUCCAUGAUCGAAAGCUAUUGCGCCUAAGGAUGGGUCUGCGGUCUAUCAGGUAGUAGUGGGUGUAAUGUACCUACUAGCCGACGACGGAUACGGGUUGUGGGAGCAAGAGCCCUGAGAUGGAUUCUGAGACAUGAAUCCAGGCCCUACGGGGCGCAGCAGGCGCGAAAACUUUACAAUGCGGGAAACCGCGAUAAGGGGACGCCGAGUGCCAGCAUCUUAUGUUGGCUGUCCGCAUGUAUAAAUCACAUGUGUUAGCAAGGGCCGGGCAAGACCGGUGCCAGCCGCCGCGGUAACACCGGCGGCCCGAGUGGUGGCCACUAUUAUUGGGUCUAAAGGGUCCGUAGCCGGUUUGGUAAGUCUUCCGGGAAAUCUGACGGCUUAACCGUUAGGCUUUCGGGGGAUACUACCAGGCUUGGGACCGGGAGAGGUAAGAGGUACUACGGGGGUAGGAGUGAAAUCUUGUAAUCCUCGUGGGACCACCAGUGGCGAAGGCGUCUUACCAGAACGGGUCCGACGGUGAGGGACGAAAGCUGGGGGCACGAACCGGAUUAGAUACCCGGGUAGUCCCAGCCGUAAACUAUGCUCGCUAGGUGUCAGGGACGGUGCGACCGUUUCUGGUGCCGCAGGGAAGCCGUGAAGCGAGCCACCUGGGAAGUACGGUCGCAAGGCUGAAACUUAAAGGAAUUGGCGGGGGAGCACUACAACGGGUGGAGCCUGCGGUUUAAUUGGACUCAACGCCGGAAAACUCACCGAGGGCGACAGCAAUAUGUAGG
rnacentral:rRNA from 1 species